AACGUUUGUGUAACUGUUUUGUG
rnacentral:siRNA from 1 species